GCACGGGCGUCCACGAGCGGCCUCUGCCUUGAAGUAGGAAGGUCUUUUCAUCCUCCGCUGGGAAGCAUGCGGCUGUUUUUCGGUGCGCUCGACAAAAUGAGCGCCUUUCUCCGUUUAAACGAGUUUGCUUUAUUGCACGUGUGCUUGGGAGCCCACACGCUGGUCCACGGCAUAGGUUACCGCUGAAAUAACGCGAGGCUCUGCCACGUGUAAGCGAGGCCAGCUGAUGGCGUGGGAGCUUUUUGGCGUCGGUUUGGUUCCAGUGUCGUUUUGGAGAACUCGAGAUUCUUCAUCUUGCGCGUUUCUCCUAUGAUUCGGGAUGCGGGGUCUCAAAACCUGACGCGCAGGAAUCCACGGCACGUGGGCGAAGCGUGGCCCGGCGGCGGAGGGACACGGUGCGAGGCCUGGGGUGCGGUGUUCUUUGGCUGCGUUUACACGAGUGAUCAAUGGCACAAAACCAGGAAAACAUCAAGGCGAUAAGGUACUUCAUGUACGUGAACCAUCGCUGGCCUGUCCUGAGCUUGGGACUUAAAGAAAGGGACGACUGAGGAGUAGGUGACCGUAUGGUGCUACAUGAUCAGUGUAUAUAAUAAAACACAAUUUAUAAACCUA